rnacentral:tRNA from 1 species
GGUGGUGUAGUGGUUAAAGUACCUGGCUGGUAACCAGAAGAUCAGCGGUUCAAACCCACUUACCACUC